CAGCAGCCACGGGAAUACGUAGGGUGCGAGCGUUAAUCGGAAUUACUGGGCGUAAAGCGUGCGUAGGCGGUUUGUUAAGUCUGUUGUGAAAUCCCCGGGCUCAACCUGGGAAUGGCAAUGGAUACUGGCAAGCUAGAGUGUGUCAGAGGAUGGUGGAAUUCCCGGUGUAGCGGUGAAAUGCGUAGAGAUCGGGAGGAACAUCAGUGGCGAAGGCGGCCAUCUGGGACAACACUGACGCUGAGGCACGAAAGCGUGGGGUGCAAACAGGAUUAGAUACCCCGGUAGUCCCUGUCUCUUAUAC
rnacentral:rRNA from 1 species